GUUUCUUUCUGUGUUACAGGGGCAGUCAAUAAAUGGAACCGCAAGGCCACAGAACAUGACAUAAUCAGAGCUGUGGGAGACCACCUCAAGCCCCUGGUAGAGCCGGGGGUGGUGUUUACCGCUCCACCACGCCUUCAGCAGGCUGGAAAAGUGGGAUUGAUACGGUUUUUCAUACUAAGAUGGACCAAGAGUCUGUUGAUUGGUCAGUCAUUGGGUUAAUUUGUUGAAAUCAAAUCAAGCUUGAUGCAAUAUCCAACCCAAAAUAUAACUUGUUUUUUAGGAGGGGCUCUGAAAGACACUAUGGGGGUGUCCACUGAAAGUUGACUAGUAACAACAACUGGGACCUAAAAGACACCCACCAUGAGAUCCACUAAAUCUGCCCAAGAAGAGGAAAACAAAAGAAAAACCCACACCAAACUUAAAGACAGGAAGUAAACCAAAAAGGUGGAGCAACUAAAGGUGUUGACUCUCCACAUGUAUCAAGACAACUGGAGCACUGGGCCAGACACUCUUAAAUAGAACCUGGACCAGCUCAGGUGAAACACCUUCCCACUAACGAGAUGGACAAGCCAGCACAGGUGUAACACAUACUGACUAACGAGGUGACACCAAUCAGUGCGUCCUACGUGCUAACGAGCUAGACGUGCUAACGAGCUAGACGUGCUAACGAGCUAGACGUGCUAACGAGCUCAAGUCCAACCUCAAAACAUAAAUGGAAAAACCAAAGCCUGUAACACCUUCCCCCUUAAGACAACAAAUAUAUCCUACAUUUCUUUAGGACAAGUUUGCUCACCACCAACAGAAAACAACUUCCAUUUCACAUUAUAAUCAACUACAAUGCUUCACCUUCACCAAUAUAAACAUGGUGUCUACUGGCUGUCAACAAGAAAAAAAUAUUUUCCCCCACUAGCUACUAGAACUCUCGUCUUCCUAAAACUCACUAGCUUCUAGAACUCUCGUCUUCCUAAAACUCACUAGCUUCUAGAACUCUCGUCUUUCUAAAUACCACUAGCUUCUAGAACUCUCGUCUUCCUAAAACUCACUAGCUUCUAGAACUCUCGUCUUCCUAAAACCCACUAGCUUCUAGAACUCUCGUCUUCCUAAAACUCUCUAGCUUCUAGAACUCUCGUCUUCCUAAAACUCACUAGCUUCUAGAACACUCGUCUUCCUAAAACUCACUAGCUUCUAGAACUCUCGUCUUCCUAAAACCCACUAGCUUCUAGAACUCAUCUUCCUAAAACUCACUAGCUUCUAGAACUCUCGUCUUCCUAAAACUCACUAGCUUCUAGAACUCUCGUCCCCUUGGAACGAGCCCAAACAAAACUCAUCUCCAAUACGGAAAAACGUGCAGUCAUAAUAAAUUGUGAUCCAUGGCAACGCACUGGCUAAACACAAAACACUAAACUUUUU
rnacentral:lncRNA from 1 species